rnacentral:rRNA from 1 species
UACGAGGGCCCCGAGCGUUAUCCGGAUUUAUUGGGCGUAAAGCGUGCGUAGGCGGUUUGUAACAUCUCCUGUAAAAUCCCAAGGCUCAACCUUGGGCCUGCUGGAGAUAUGGGCAAACUAGAGACUGGAAGAGGCAAGCGGAAUUGCUGGUGUAGGGGUUAAAUCCGUUAAUAUCAGCAGGAACGCCAAAAGUGAAGACAGCUUGCUAGGACAGUUCUGACGCUAAGGCACGAAAGCGUGGGGAGCGAACGAG